rnacentral:rRNA from 1 species
UGGGGAAUUUUGGACAAUGGGCGAAAGCCUGAUCCAGCAAUGCCGCGUGUGUGAAGAAGGCCUUCGGGUUGUAAAGCACUUUUGUCCGGAAAGAAAUCCUUGGCUCUAAUACAGUCGGGGGAUGACGGUACCGGAAGAAUAAGCACCGGCUAACUACGUGCCAGCAGCCGCGGUAAUACGUAGGGUGCAAGCGUUAAUCGGAAUUACUGGGCGUAAAGCGUGCGCAGGCGGUUUGCUAAGACCGAUGUGAAAUCCCCGGGCUCAACCUGGGAACUGCAUUGGUGACUGGCAGGCUAGAGUAUGGCAGAGGGGGGUAGAAUUCCACAUGUAGCAGUGAAAUGCGUAGAGAUGUGGAGGAAUACCGAUGGCGAAGGCAGCCCCCUGGGCCAAUACUGACGCUCAUGCACGAAAGCGUGGGGAGCAAACAGGAUUAGAUACCCUGGUAGUCCACGCCCUAAAACGAUGUCAACUAGUUGUUGGGGAUUCAUUUCCUUAGUAACGUAGCUAA